AGAUAUGGAAAACCAAUAAAAAUAUUAUUAUUAUCAUUUUUUAAAAAUCUGCUCCGUUUAUCAGUAAUGCUAUGUCUUAUUGUUUCCUGAAAACCAAGGAGCUUUUGUGAUCCUUGAUGGAAGCCCCUGGAAAGAGGCCCUUUCUGCCGCCAACUGAGGCUUGGCAGGGGGGGGGUUGCUGGGGAUGAGAGAGGAAGCAGGCGGCGUUUGCCCCCUUCAUUCUCUUCAGGGUGAAGAAGAAGAAUCCUGCAGAACUUGUUUGGGCCAGUCAGCAUUCCAAGGAGGCCGCCUGGUCAGAAAGGCCUCUUGAAAAACUUGUCUGCGCAGAAAAGGGGAAAUAAGUGUGCUGGGCUGAGUUCUCGCCCAUUUCUCCUUCCUGCCUUGAGAAGCUGGAAGGGGGAGGCAUUAAAUGUUGGUGGGGGCCAGCAAGGGACAUGAAGGAUGGAGAGGAAUGGCAGGCACCCCCAAACUCGGCCCUCCAGAUGUCAUCAGUGCAGAGCCUGUACUUCUGAUGAAGCCUAGAUGGCGAAGCAAGGCUAAUAUUCCAGAAAUCCUUGUCUUAGACUCUGCGAAAGGAUUCUGUGGAACUGUAACAACUCUUCAUGUGGAUUAUUGGACUCUG